GGACCGGAGUGGACGCACCUCUGGUGCAUCGGUUGUCACGCCAGUGGCAUAGCCGAGUAGCUAAGUGCGGAAGAGAUAACCGCUGAAAGCAUCUAAGCGGGAAACUCGUCUCAAGAUGAGUCUUGCCGGGGCCUUGAGCCCCCUGAAGAGUCGUUCGAGACCAGGACGUUGAUAGGCCGGGUGUGGAAGCGCAGUAAUGCGUUAAGCUGACCGGUACUAAUUGCUCGUGAGGCUUGACCCU
rnacentral:rRNA from 1 species